GAUGAAGAACGUAGCGAAAUGCGAUAAGUAAUGUGAAUUGCAGAAUUCAGUGAAUCAUCGAAUCGUUGAACGCACCUUGCGCUCCUUGGUAUUCCGAGGAGCAUGCCUGUUUGAGUGUCAUUAAAUUCUCAACCUUAUUAGCUUUUGCUGAUAAUGGCUUGGACUUGGGGGUCUUUUUGCUGGCUUUCAUUAGUCUGCUCCCCUUAAAUGUAUUAGCCGGUGCCCCGCAGUGGAACCGUCUAUUGGUGUGAUAAUUAUCUACGCCGUGGACGUCUGCUAUAAUGGGUUUGCGCUGCUUCUAACCGUCUCUCGGGACAACACAAAUGACAAUUUGACCUCAAAUCAGGUAGGACUACCCGCUGAACUUAAGCAUAUCAAUAAGCGGAGGA
rnacentral:misc_RNA from 1 species